rnacentral:rRNA from 1 species
AGCAUAUCAAUAAGCGGAGGAAAAGAAACUAACAAGGAUUCCCCUAGUAACUGCGAGUGAAGAGGGAAAAGCUCAAAUUUAAAAUCUGGCGGUCUUUGGCCGUCCGAAUUGUAAUUUAGAGAAGCGUCACCCGCGUUGGACCGUGUACAAGUCUCCUCGAACGGAGCAUCAUAGAGGGUGAGAAUCCCGUCCAUGACACGGACUACCAGGGCUUUGUGGUGCGCUCUCGACGAGUCGAGUUGUUUGGGAAUGCAGCUCAAAAUGGGUGGUAAAUUCCAUCUAAAGCUAAAUAUAGGCGAGAGACCGAUAGCGAACAAGUACCGUGAGGGAAAGAUGAAAAGAACUUUGGAAAGAGAGUUAAACAGUACGUGAAAUUGUUGAAAGGGAAACGCUUGAAGUCAGUCGCGUCCUUCAUCGAUCAACCUGGCCUUUUCGCUUGGUGUACUCUUUGGAGGACGGGUCAGCAUCAAUUUUGACCGGGGGAAAAAGUUGGUAGGGAUGUGGCACCUUCGGGUGUGUUAUAACCUGCUUGCAUAUAUCCCGGUUGGGAUUGAGGAACUCAGCACGCCGCAAGGCCGGACUUCUGUCACGUUCGUGCUUAGGAUGCUGGCAUAAUGGCUUUAAUCGACCCGUC